rnacentral:rRNA from 1 species
GACGAACGCUGGCGGCGUGCCUAACACAUGCAAGUCGAACGGAAAGGCCCUGCUUUUGUGGGGUUCUCGAGUGGCGAACGGGUGAGUAACACGCGAGUAAACUGCACUUGACUUUGGGGUAACAUCAGGAGACUCGGGAUCAUACCGGAUAGGAGCUCCUGCUGCAUGGUGGGGGUUGGAAAGUUUCGGCGGUUGUGGCUGGACUCGCGGCUUAUCAGCUGCUUUGGGGGGUAGUGGCUUUCCACGGCUUUGAAGGCUAGCCUGCCUUAGAGGGUUACCGGCCACAUGGGGACUGCGAUACGGACCAGACUCCUACGGGAGGCAGCAGUGGAGAGUAUUGCGGAGUAGGCGGAAGCCUGAUGCAGCGACCCCCCGUGCGGGAUGCCGGCCUUCGGGUUGUAAACCGCUUUCGCCGGUGACGAAGCGUGAGUGACGGUAAUGGGUAAAGAAGCACCGGCUAACUACGUG